rnacentral:tRNA from 1 species
GGGGGCAUAGCUCAGUGGUAGAGUGUGUGCUCAACAUGCAGGAGCCCCUGGGUUCAAUCCCCAGUGCCUCCG